rnacentral:rRNA from 1 species
UACAGAGGCCACGAGCGUUAGGCGGAAUCACUGGGCUUAAAGCGUGUGUAGGUGGAUGGGUAAGUACCUUGUGAAAUCCCACGGCUCAACCGUGGAACUGCUUGGUAUACUGCUGUCUUGAGGCACUCAGGGGCGAGCGGAACAGAUGGUGGAGCGGUGAAAUGCGUAGAUAUUGGGAGGAACACCAGUGGCGAAGGCGGCUCACUGGACCGGUACUGACGCUGAGGCGCGAAAGCGUGGGGAGCAAACGGG